rnacentral:rRNA from 1 species
GACGAACGCUGGCGGCGUGCUUAACACAUGCAAGUCAAGGGGGCCCGUAAGGGCAACCGGCGAACGGGUGCGUAACACGUGAGCGACCUGCCCGCUUGUGGGGGAUAGCCGGCCCAACGGCCGGGUAAUACCGCAUACGCUUUUCGGGGGGCAUCUCCCGAUUCGGAAAGAUUUAUCGCAGGCGGAGGGGCUCGCGGCCUAUCAGCUAGUUGGCGAGGUAACGGCUCACCAAGGCGACGACGGGUAGCUGGUCNGAGAGGA